rnacentral:rRNA from 1 species
AUUGAAAGCUGACGGCAGGCCUAACACGUGCAAGUCGUGCGGAGCGGCGGACGGGCGAGUAAAGCCUAGGCAUCGGCCUGGUAGUGGGGGAUAACGUCCGGAAACGGGCGCUACAAUCGCAUAAUAUAAGAUGAGCCCAGGUCGGAUUACACAGGUGGUGGGGUAAAGGCCUACCAAGGCGACGAACCGUAACUGGUCUGAGAGGAUGUUCAGUCACACUGGAACUGAGACACGGUCCGUACUCCUACGGGAGGCAGCAGUGGGGAGUAUUGGACAAUGGGCGAAAGCCUGAGCCAGCCAUGCCGCGUGUGUGAAGAAGGUCUUCGGAUUGUAAAGCACUUUAAGUUGGGAGGCGUUACCAACAGAAUAAGCACCGGCUAACUUCGUGCCAGCAGCCGCGGUAAUAC